rnacentral:rRNA from 1 species
UACGGAGGGUGCAAGCGUUAUCCGGAUUUACUGGGUUUAAAGGGUGCGUAGGUGGGUUGGGAAGUCAGUGGUGAAAUACUUUCGCUUAACGAAGGAACUGCCAUUGAUACUAUCAAUCUUGAAUGUAGUGGAGGUAGGCGGAAUGCGUCAUGUAGCGGUGAAAUGCUUAGAUAUGACGCAGAACACCAAUUGCGAAGGCAGCUUGCUACACUACUAUUGACACUGAGGCACGAAAGCGUGGGGAUCGAAA